AUGUGGCGGCUAGUAGAGUGGGUGGGCUUGACUCGUGGAUUGAUGUAACUGGGUUCCUUUGAAAUGUAAUAUCUUCAUUUGGCUUGCGGUUUUGGAGAAGAUUCCAACUAGGGUGGCGUUCGGAAAGAGAAACAUCCAGUUGGAUUCUAAUCUUUGUUUGUUAUGUUAGGAGGGUAGACCUUAUCAAAUGAAAAAAGUAAGGAAAAUAAACGAGAUGUAGCAUGUAGCGCACGACUUGCUAGCAACAUCUGUGAGUAAAUAACCACUUGACCAUGGAUAGUAGUUAGGGUAAAUUACUUUUUGAGUCCCUGUGUUUUAGUAGUUUUAACUAGUUGAGUCCAAAAGCAAAAAAUUUAACGAUUUGAGUCCCUAUAAGCAUUUUCUUUAACCAUUUGAGUCCUUUUGAGUCCAAAUUUUAACAUUUUGAGUCCAAUUUUUUGGACUCAAAUCGUUAUAAAAUAAACAAAAUUGGACUCAAAACGUUAUAAAAUAAAUGACUAGGGACUCAGGGCGUUAAACUUUUUGAUUUUGGACUCAAGUGGUUAAAACCGCUA
rnacentral:lncRNA from 1 species